CUCACAAUAAUUUGAGUCUGUUUUUUCCUCAAAAUAUGAAGUAUUCCGUUUUUAAGCAGAUUAUUUUUUAAAGGAUAACCCCUGUUUGACAGUGCAAUGAAAAAUGUUUGAUGAAUGAACGUGUUUGGAGCAUUAGAACUGGGAAAACUAAGGAAAAGCGUGAACCAGGCAAAGGGAAACAAUCAAUAUAAUAAAGCAUAUUGAUGGAAUUAAUGGUGAAACACAUUGUAUAGUGCAUAGUGCAAAAACGAAAUAAUGUACAGGGUGGCCACUGGAACCUGAUCCAGUUUUAAAGGACAAACUUUUCAAAAAUUAGUUUCAAGUAGGUAUAUAGAAUGCCCCCAAAAUUAACUUACAUAUCAAACAAUCAGUAGUAACAGUAAAUACGCACACAAAUAUUUACAGCGUUAGGUAUAGA